UACGUAGGUGACCAGCGUUGUCCGGAUUUACUGGGCGUAAAGAGCGCGCAGGCGGUCGUUCAAGUCGAGUGUGAAAGCCCCCGGCUCAACUGGGGAGGGUCACUUGAUACUGAUCGACUCGAAGGCAGGAGAGGGAAGCGGAAUUCCCGGUGUAGUGGUGAAAUGCGUAGAUAUCGGAAGGAACACCGGUGGCGAAGGCGGCACGCUGGGCCCGCCCUGACGCUGAGGCGCGAAAGCCAGGGGAGCGAACGGG
rnacentral:rRNA from 1 species